CACCGAACCAAGGGGUGCCUUGAAAUCGUUAAUGAUUUUGAUGGCUGAGAUGCGAAGCGAACCCUUAGAACCUGAACCGGAUAGUACCGGCGUAGGAAUGGUUACGCUAAUCGCC
rnacentral:ncRNA from 2 species